GAUGAACGCUGGCGGCGUGCCUAAUACAUGCAAGUCGAGCGAACAGAUAAGGAGCUUGCUCCUUUGAUGUUAGCGGCGGACGGGUGAGUGACACGUGGGUAACCUACCUAUAAGACUGGAAUAACUCCGGGAAACCGGGGCUAAUGCCGGAUAACAUUUAGAACCGCAUGGUUCUAAAGUGAAAGAUGGUUUUGCUAUCACUUAUAGAUGGACCCGCGCCGUAUUAGCUAGUUGGUAAGGUAAUGGCUUACCAAGGCAACGAUACGUAGCCGACCUGAGAGGGUGAUCGGCCACACUGGAACGGAGACACGGUCCAGACUCCUACGGGAGGCAGCAGUAGGGAAUCUUCCGCAAUGGGCGAAAGCCUGACGGAGCAACGCCGCGUGAGUGAUGAAGGGUUUCGGCUCGUAAAACUCUGUUAUUAGGGAAGAACAAACGUGUAAGUAACUGUGCACGUCUUGACGGUACCUAAUCAGAAAGCCACGGCUAACUACGUGCCAGCCGCCGCCGUAA
rnacentral:rRNA from 1 species